rnacentral:rRNA from 1 species
GGAGAGUGCGAGCGUUGUUCGGGAAUCAUUGGGCGUAAAGGGCGUCUAGGUGGCGUGCUAAGUCAGAUGUGAAAUCCCUCGGGCUCAACCGAGGACGUGCAUUUGAAACUAGUAUGCCCUGAGUACCGGAGGGGGCAGCGGAAUUCUCGGUGUAGAGGUGAAAUUCGUAGAUAUCGGGAGGAACACCAGUGGCGAAGGCGGCUGCCUGGCCGGAUACUGACACUGAAGCGCGAAAGCGUGGGGAGCAAACAGGAUUAGAUACCCUGGUAGUCCACGCCGUAAACGAUGGGCACUAGCUAUACGAGGUGUUGACCCCUGGUGUGGCGUAGCUAACGCAAUAAGUGCCCCGCCUGGGGAGUACGGCCGCAAGGCUA